rnacentral:rRNA from 1 species
UAGGGGAUCUUCCGCAAUGGGCGAAAGCCUGACGGAGCAACGCCGCGUGAGUGAUGAAGGUCUUCGGAUCGUAAAACUCUGUUAUUAGGGAAGAACAAAUGUGUAAGUAACUAUGCACGUCUUGACGGUACCUAAUCAGAAAGCCACGGCUAACUACGUGCCAGCAGCCGCGGUAAUACGUAGGUGGCAAGCGUUAUCCGGAAUUAUUGGGCGUAAAGCGCGCGUAGGCGGUUUUUUAAGUCUGAUGUGAAAGCCCACGGCUCAACCGUGGAGGGUCAUUGGAAACUGGAAAACUUGAGUGCAGAAGAGGAAAGUGGAAUUCCAUGUGUAGCGGUGAAAUGCGCAGAGAUAUGGAGGAACACCAGUGGCGAAGGCGACUUUCUGGUCUGUAACUGACGCUGAUGUGUGAAAGCGUGGGGAUCAAACAGG